rnacentral:rRNA from 4 species
CACCUGAUCCCAUGCCGAACUCAGAAGUGAAACGCGGUAGCGCCGAUGGUAGUGUGGCAUUCGCCAUGCGAGAGUAGGACACUGCCAGGC